CUACGGGCCGCUGCAGUCGAGAAUCUUCGGCAAUGGACGAAAGUCUGACCGAGCGACGCCGCGUGCGGGAUGAAGGCCUUCGGGUUGUAAACCGCUGUCAGAGGGAAGGAAAUUUUGACCGAUCCUCAAAGGAAGUACGGGCUAAGUUCGUGCCAGCAGCCGCGGUAAGACGAGACCGUACAAACGUCAUUCGGAAUCACUGGGCUUAAAGGGUGCGUAGGUGGUCUAUUAAGUUGGGUGUGAAAUCCCUCGGCUCAACCGAGGAACUGCGCUCAAUACUGGUAGACUUGAGGGAGAUAGAGGUGAGCGGAACUGAUGGUGGAGCGGUGAAAUGCGUUGAUAUCAUCGGGAACACCUGUGGCGAAAGCGGCUCACUGGAUCUCUUCUGACACUGAGGCACGAAAGCUAGGGGAGCGAACGGGAUUAGAUACCCUCGUAGUC
rnacentral:rRNA from 1 species